GCUUCCUUGGCUCAGUUGGUAGAGCGUUGGUCUCAUAGAAUCCAAAGGUCGCCAGUUCGAGCCUGGCAGGGAGCA
rnacentral:tRNA from 1 species